AUAUCCUUUCACUCAACGACCAUUCGAGUCGCUCUGAUCUGCUUUACUAAAUUAUACGAAAUAUUAUCCAACUCUUAAACUCAAUUAUUUUAGAAGAAAUUUGCCACAGUAGUACGUUUUUUAAAAUAAGUAAUAUAGGGGUAUAUAUAUGCCAGUGAAACAAACUUAUAACAAAGGUUAAUAAGUUUUUGCAAACAUUAAAACAAUGUGAGAACCUAGUUUGCAAGUCGUUGAAGUGCACUUAUUUUUUCGG
rnacentral:lncRNA from 1 species